UACGUAGGGUGCAAGCGUUGUCCGGAAUUAUUGGGCGUAAAGAGCUCGUAGGCGGUUUGUCGCGUCUGCUGUGAAAUCCCGAGGCUCAACCUCGGGCCUGCAGUGGGUACGGGCAGACUAGAGUGCGGUAGGGGAGACUGGAAUUCCUGGUGUAGCGGUGAAAUGCGCAGAUAUCAGGAGGAACACCGGUGGCGAAGGCGGGUCUCUGGGCCGUAACUGACGCUGAGGAGCGAAAGCGUGGGGAGCGAACAGG
rnacentral:rRNA from 1 species